rnacentral:rRNA from 1 species
UACGUAGGGUGCAAGCGUUGUCCGGAAUUAUUGGGCGUAAAGAGCUCGUAGGCGGUUUGUUGCGUCGGCUGUGAAAUCCCGAGGCUCAACCUCGGGUCUGCAGUCGAUACGAGCAAACUAGAGUGUUGCAGGGGAGACUGGAAUUCCUGGUGUAGCGGUGAAAUGCGCAGAUAUCAGGAGGAACACCGGUGGCGAAGGCGGGUCCCUGGACACUUCCUGACACUGAGGCACGAAAGCUAGGGGAGCAAACAGG